rnacentral:rRNA from 1 species
GACGAACGCGGCGGCGUGCCUAAUACAUGCAAGUAGAACGCACAGGAUGCACCGUAGUUUACUACACCGUAUUCUGUGAGUUGCGAACGGGUGAGUAACGCGUAGGUAACCUGCCUGGUAGCGGGGGAUAACUAUUGGAAACGAUAGCUAAUACCGCAUAAGAACAUUUACUGCAUGGUAGAUGUUUAAAAGGUGCAAAUGCAUCACUACCAGAUGGACCUGCGUUGUAUUAGCUAGUAGGUGAGGUAACGGCUCACCUAGGCGACGAUACAUAGCCGACCUGAGAGGGUGAUCGGCCACACUGGGACUGAGACACGGCCCAGACUCCUACGGGAGGCAGCAGUAGGGAAUCUUCGGCAAUGGGGGGAACCCUGACCGAGCAACGCCGCGUGAGUGAAGAAGGUUUUCGGAUCGUAAAGCUCUGUUGUUAAAGGAAGAAACGAGUGUGAGAAAUGGAAAAGUUCAUACUGUGACCGGUACUAACC